rnacentral:rRNA from 1 species
GACGAACGCUGGCGGCGUGCUUAACACAUGCAAGUCGAACGGAAAGGCCCUGCUUUUGUGGGGUGCUCGAGUGGCGAACGCGUGAGUAACACGUGAGUAACCUGCCCUUGACUUUGGGAUACCUUCACGAAACUGGGGCUAAUACCGGAUAGGAGCCCCUGCUCCAUGGUGGGGGUUGGAUCGUUUCGGAGGUUGGGGAUGGACUCGCGGCUUAUCAGCUUGCUGGUGGGGUAGUGGCUUACCAAGGCUUUGACGGGUACCCGGCCUGGGUGGGUGACCGGCGACAUUGGGACUGAGAUACGGCCCAGAAGCCUACGGGAGGCAGUAGUGGGGAAUAUUACACAAUGGGCGGGAGACAGAUGCAGCAACGCGGGGUGCGAGAGGACGGCCUUCGGGUAGAAAACCGCUUGGGCCUGAGACGAAGCGUGAGUGACGGUAAUGGGUAAAGAAGCACCGGCUAACUACGUG